CUCUCGGUAGCCAAGUUGGUUUAAGGCGCAAGACUGUAAUUCGAAAAACAUGAAAUCUUGAGAUCGGGCGUUCGACUCGCCCCCGGGAGA
rnacentral:tRNA from 1 species